rnacentral:rRNA from 1 species
GAUGAACGCUGGCGGCGUGCCUAAUACAUGCAAGUCGAGCGAACAGACAAGGAGCUUGCUCCUUUGACGUUAGCGGCGGACGGGUGAGUAACACGUGGGUAACCUACCUAUAAGACUGGGAUAACUUCGGGAAACCGGAGCUAAUACCGGAUAAUAUUUCGAACCGCAUGGUUCGAUAGUGAAAGAUGGUUUUGCUAUCACUUAUAGAUGGACCCGCGCCGUAUUAGCUAGUUGGUAAGGUAACGGCUUACCAAGGCGACGAUACGUAGCCGACCUGAGAGGGUGAUCGGCCACACUGGAACUGAGACACGGUCCAGACUCCUACGGGAGGCAGCAGUAGGGAAUCUUCCGCAAUGGGCGAAAGCCUGACGGAGCAACGCCGCGUGAGUGAUGAAGGUCUUCGGAUCGUAAAACUCUGUUAUUAGGGAAGAACAUACGUGUAAGUAACUAUGCACGUCUUGACGGUACCUAAUCAGAAAGCCACGGCUAACUACGUGCCAGCAGCCGCGGUAAUACGUAGGUGGCAAGCGUUAUCCGGAAUUAUUGGGCGUAAAGCGCGCGUAGGCGGUUUUUUAAGUCUGAUGUGAAAGCCCACGGCUCAACCGUGGGAGGGUCAUUGGAAACUGGAAAACUUGAGUGCAGAAGAGGAAAGUGGAAUUCCAUGUGUAGCGGUGAAAUGCGCAGAGAUAUGGAGGAACACCAGUGGCGAAGGCGACUUUCUGGUCUGUAACUGACGCUGAUGUGCGAAAGCGUGGGGAUCAAACAGGAUUAGAUACCCUGGUAGUCCACGCCGUAAACGAUGAGUGCUAAGUGUUAGGGGGUUUCCGCCCCUUAGUGCUGCAGCUAACGCAUUAAGCACUCCGCCUGGGGAGUACGACCGCAAGGUUGAAACUCAAAGGAAUUGACGGGGACCCGCACAAGCGGUGGAGCAUGUGGUUUAAUUCGAAGCAACGCGAAGAACCUUACCAAAUCUUGACAUCCUUUGACAACUCUAGAGAUAGAGCCUUCCCCUUCGGGGGACAAAGUGACAGGUGGUGCAUGGUUGUCGUCAGCUCGUGUCAUGAGAUGUUGGGUUAAGUCCCGCAACGAGCGCAACCCUUAAGCUUAGUUGCCAUCAUUAAGUUGGGCACUCUAAGUUGACUGCCGGUGACAAACCGGAGGAAGGUGGGGAUGACGUCAAAUCAUCAUGCCCCUUAUGAUUUGGGCUACACACGUGCUACAAUGGACAAUACAAAGGGCAGCGAAACCGCGAGGUCAAGCAAAUCCCAUAAAGUUGUUCUCAGUUCGGAUUGUAGUCUGCAACUCGACUACAUGAAGCUGGAAUCGCUAGUAAUCGUAGAUCAGCAUGCUAUGGUGAAUACGUUCCCGGGUCU